GUGAACAGUAGCCUUGCCCUUACAAUCCGUAGUGAGUAGUGACUUCACAUAAUGUGACAUUCACACAAAUAGAUUAGAAGGUCCUACAUUCCCUCAAGUUUAAGUUAAGACUCUUCACCACCACCACAGUCACAGUGCCAAAGUGCAACUAAAGAAGGACAAACAACAAAAACUCUCAUCAAUAAAAAUUCCCCCAAACCCAAAAGCCAUUUUCCAACCCUCAAAAUAUGCAGCAGCAAUAAUGGAAAACCCAUUUAAAUACUCCACAAUUUAACACCACCUAAAGCAGCUCAUCACCCCAAAUUCAAAGCCUCCUUCAUACUUAUUUAUGAUACGCCACCAAAUCAAAAAAGAAAAAACCUGUCUAAAAAAAUAGCAAGAUCCAUCUCUCACAGAAUCACACUCACACCCUUCCUGAAAUUCUCAUAUACUGAUUUAAUCAAAACACAAACCCAACAAGACCCAUUUUAAGAACCAUCAUGUCUGCUUCUGGGGUCACUCUCUCUCUCAUAUUGCUGCUGUGUUUAGCUAAUGCGGUCAACUACAGUGAAGCCCAUAUUAAUGGGUCUGAGACUGAGAUGAUGGUGCCAAUGGUGGAGUCAGGAAGGAUGGAGAAGAUGAUGACGGUGAUGAAUGAUAGCAGAAGGAGGUUAGGGAGCUUCCAGAUAUGUGCACUAUGCACUUGCUGUGGUGGGGCCAAAGGUCUUUGCUUGCCAUCUCCUUGUUGCUAUGCCAUCAAUUGCAACAUUCCCAACAGGCCUUUUGGCUUUUGCUCUUUCACUCCCAAGACCUGUAAUUGCUUUGGAUGCCAUCUCUAACUCUCUCUCUCUCUCUCUCUCAUUCCAUUCUAUAUAAUUUCAUAAUUUAGUUACAUUGUUUAAUUUAAGGCUCAAGUUGAGGCUGUUGGGAGUGUGGAUGGGAAGAAUAUCUGUUCUUCAUUUGUUUGUUUAUAACUUUUACAAAUAUAUUAUUGUUGGGGGAAGGGAGGUUUUGGCUAUUUCCAGGUUAGUUUCUUGCUAGUUCUAGUGGGAUUUGUCAAUGAUUUUUGCAGGAAGUAGCAAUGCCUGAUGCCAUAUUUUAGCUUUUUUAUGUGAGGGGGUACUUGAGGAAACAUCGUCCUUGUUAGUGGAGCAGCUAUGGGGUUUAUGAUCAUUUUAUUACCUUUCAAAGAAUAUAUUAAUGUAAGUGCUCAGUAGGGCUAUUGUGUUACUCAUGACUAAGGAUUAAGAUAUAAAUUUUGUCUAUUAUUUUAAA